AGUCGAGCGGCAGCGGAAAGUAGCUUGCUACUUUGCCGGCGAGCGGCGGACGGGUGAGUAAUGUCUGGGAAACUGCCUGAUGGAGGGGGAUAACUACUGGAAACGGUAGCUAAUACCGCAUGACCUCGAAAGAGCAAAGUGGGGGAUCUUCGGACCUCACGCCAUCGGAUGUGCCCAGAUGGGAUUAGCUAGUAGGUGAGGUAAUGGCUCACCUAGGCGACGAUCCCUAGCUGGUCUGAGAGGAUGACCAGCCACACUGGAACUGAGACACGGUCCAGACUCCUACGGGAGGCAGCAGUGGGGAAUAUUGCACAAUGGGCGCAAGCCUGAUGCAGCCAUGCCGCGUGUGUGAAGAAGGCCUUAGGGUUGUAAAGCACUUUCAGCGAGGAGGAAGGCAUCACACUUAAUACGUGUGGUGAUUGACGUUACUCGCAGAAGAAGCACCGGCUAACUCCGUGCCAGCAGCCGCGGUAAUACGGAGGGUGCAAGCGUUAAUCGGAAUUACUGGGCGUAAAGCGCACGCAGGCGGUUUGUUAAGUCAGAUGUGAAAUCCCCGCGCUUAACGUGGGAACUGCAUUUGAAACUGGCAAGCUAGAGUCUUGUAGAGGGGGGUAGAAUUCCAGGUGUAGCGGUGAAAUGCGUAGAGAUCUGGAGGAAUACCGGUGGCGAAGGCGGCCCCCUGGACAAAG
rnacentral:rRNA from 1 species